rnacentral:pre_miRNA from 1 species
AUUAUAAAAAUUAUGGAGUUGGAACGUUUGCCUACGUUUGCCGCUAGGGGCGCUGUUCCUACUGCAUACAAAUUUGAACAA